AAACAGAAAGAAGAAGCUAACCCAGAUCCACUUGAAGGAUAUGGUGGAAAUAGAGCGGGUAGUUAUGGGAAUAUAAUUAUGGUUUUGAUUGUUCUUGCCGGCCUUGUUCAAGGUCGCAUAAUGGCAAUUUUGCUAACCACGGUCUGGUGUUUCGUGGUAAAAUUAGUUCAAACCUUGAACAGAAAAUCCUGAAGAUAUCUUAACAUCAGGUCAUCCCUCAGAGAUGUCAAAUGUGAGAUCUUGGUGAAAGAACCCUUUUGUAUUUAUGCUGUUCCUGGGUUCUUUGGGAAUUCCUCCCAAGCUUCAAGUUGUAUAAUCAGAGCUCAGUAUCCUUGAAGGUUCAACUUUUUGUUGGCAAUACAACUUCGAUUUGUUGCACUCUGUAAUGGUAUACUGUAAAUUUUCAGAUACAGAUUGUAACUUGUGCCUAAAGAUGCCAAAUUCUCUUUUAUGUAACAAUGUUUCCUAUUUGGAAAAGAAUUUUCCGUCAUCAUUUGGGGUUU